GAUGAACGCUGGCGGCGUGCUUAACACAUGCAAGUCGAACGGAAAGGCUCCUGCUUGCAGGGGUACUCGAGUGGCGAACGGGUGAGUAACACGUGGGUGAUCUGCCCUGUACUUCGGGAUAAGCUUGGGAAACUGGGCCUAAUACCGGAUAGGACAACUUUUUGGAUAUUGUUGUGGAAAGCUUUUGCGGUAUGGGAUGAGCUCGCGGCCUAUCAGCUUGUUGGUGGGGUAAUGGCCUACCAAGGCGUCGACGGGUAGCCGGCCUGAGAGGGUGUACGGCCACAUUGGGACUGAGAUACGGCCCAGACUCCUACGGGAGGCAGCAGUGGGGAAUAUUGCACAAUGGGCGCAAGCCUGAUGCAGCGACGCCGCGUGGGGGAUGAAGGCCUUCGGGUUGUAAACUCCUUUCGCUAGGGACGAAGCUUUUUUGUGACGGUACCUGGAGAAGAAGCACCGGCUAACUACGUG
rnacentral:rRNA from 1 species